AGUAAGACUCGAUUCCACUUUCUUUACUCCGCGAUCUACUCCCUCCCUGCUCUGCAUUGCCUGCUUUUGGUCUGCCAAGUGCAAGAUUUCGCGUUUGCUCUGCUUUCCUGGCAUUCAACACUAGAAUCCCUCUUUUGUUUUUCUCAGGUGGCCUUUUGUCUUGAUCGCAGGUGGAACCAUUCCAAGCAUUCUAGGAUUGAAUUCCAGGGGACUAGCUGAGGGCUCGAUUCUGUCAGAAUGGCAGCCAGGAGUGGAGGCACUCGGCUCCACUGGCUCGCGGUGAUUCAAUUCGUGGCUUUGGUGGCAACCGUGGGCAAUGCUGCAACGCCCGCACUAGCAGAAGCUGAAGGAGGCGCUGAAACCAAGACUUACACUUACAGCUCUCCACCACCGCCAUCACCGGUUUACGAGUACAAGUCUCCCCCUCCGCCGGUCUAUGAGUACAAAUCGCCGCCCCCCCCUCCGCCGGUUUACAAGUACAAAUCGCCGCCACCUCCUCCGCCUUACUACUACAAAUCUCCGCCUCCGCCUCCUCCCUACAAGUAUGAAUCGCCGCCUCCGCCUCCCUACAAGUACGAGUCGCCGCCUCCACCACCGUACUACUACAAAUCACCUCCGCCGCCCCCAUACAAGUAUGAAUCGCCGCCGCCACCACCAUACAAGUAUGAAUCGCCGCCGCCACCACCAUACAAGUAUGAAUCGCCUCCUCCACCACCAUAUAAGUACGAAUCGCCACCGCCACCACCAUACAAGUACGAGUCGCCUCCUCCACCUCCGUACAAGUAUGAAUCGCCUCCUCCCCCACCAUACUACUACAAAUCACCACCACCACCUCCUUACAAGUAUGAAUCUCCCCCUCCACCUCCAUAUUACUACAAAUCUCCACCCCCGCCACCACCUUACUACUACAAAUCACCACCACCACCUUCUCCUGUCUACAAAUAUAAAUCUCCACCACCACCACCUUACAAGUACGAAUCUCCUCCUCCACCUCCAUACUAUUACAAGUCUCCACCACCACCGCCGUAUUACUACAAGUCUCCACCACCACCACCUCCAGUUUACAAAUACAAAUCUCCUCCUCCGCCACCAUAUUACUACAAAUCACCACCUCCUCCAUCACCAGUAUAUUACUACAAAUCUCCUCCUCCACCAGCGUAUUACUACAAAUCUCCCCCACCGCCUGUCUACUAUUACAAAUCCCCGCCACCUCCAGCUUACCACUACCAAUCGCCACCCCCACCAAGUUACAAGCUGGUAGUGGUCACGGGCAAGGUCUAUUGCAACAGAUGCUGGAACACCACAAGCAGAUACCUUCAGGCAUCACCACAUGGGUCUGCUAGGUACAUUCUCAAUUGCAUUGUAUUCGAUAUUGUUCUCCUCACUCAUUUCCUCUUGAUACUGUGUGCAAUAAUGCAGGUGGCAAAGUGAAGAUCACAUGUGGCGAAUCUUACUACUACGGCUACACCAACAAGCAUGGAAUCUUUAGAAUUGAGCUCCCGCACCAAUCCUGGGAAGAAGCAAGCAGCUGCAAGGCCAAGAUUAUCAAGAGCAGCUACAUCAAGUCGUCAUGCAAUGUCAUCACGGACUACAGGUCUGGUGCAACAGGGGCCAAGCUCAAGUUCAAAUCGAAAACAGAGAAGGAGCUCGUCUUGACAGCCGGUCCUUUCAUCUAUGCAACUCCAGAGCCAUCGUCAGUCUGCUUCUACACAUCACCUCCCUAUGAGUACAAGUCACCUCCGCCACCAACACCGGUCUACCAUUACGCCUCUCCGCCACCUCCGGUCUACUACUACAAAUCGCCACCUCCUCCUUCACCGGUUUACUACUACAAAUCCCCUCCUCCUCCUUCGCCGGUCUACUAUUACAAAUCCCCGCCUCCACCACCAUACUAUUACAAGUCCCCACCUCCACCUCCGCCUAAGUAUUACUACAAGUCGCCCCCACCACCGUCUCCAUACUAUUACAAAUCCCCGCCCCCUCCACCGUACUAUUACAAAUCCCCACCACCACCUCCCUACAAAUACGAAUCGCCGCCGCCUCCUCCUUACAAAUACGAGUCCCCACCUCCACCACCUUACUAUUACAAGUCCCCACCACCACCUCCAUACAAAUAUGAAUCCCCGCCACCUCCAGUCUACAAAUAUGAGUCUCCGCCACCCCCAGUUUACAAAUACAAGUCGCCACCACCACCAUACAAGUACGAGUCACCACCACCACCUCCAUACAAGUAUGAAUCCCCGCCACCUCCACCUUAUUACUACAAGUCCCCUCCACCACCACCAUACAAGUACGAGUCGCCACCACCUCCUCCGUACAAGUAUGAAUCUCCACCACCACCAGUUUACAAAUACAAGUCACCUCCGCCGCCACCUUAUUACUACAAAUCCCCACCGCCACCUCCAUACAAGUACGAGUCUCCACCUCCUCCUCCGUACAAGUAUGAAUCUCCACCACCACCACCUUAUUACUACAAAUCCCCCCCGCCACCUCCAUACAAGUACGAGUCACCGCCUCCUCCUCCGUACAAGUAUGAAUCUCCACCACCGCCAGUUUACAAAUACAAGUCACCCCCGCCACCACCUUAUUACUACAAAUCCCCGCCACCACCUCCAUACAAGUACGAGUCUCCACCUCCUCCUCCGUACAAGUAUGAAUCUCCACCACCACCUCCUUAUUACUACAAAUCCCCGCCGCCACCUCCCUACAAGUAUGAAUCCCCGCCACCACCUCCCUACAAAUACGAGUCACCUCCACCACCACCUUACUAUUACAAAUCUCCUCCACCGCCUCCAUACAAGUAUGAGUCGCCACCACCACCAGUCUACAAAUACGAGUCUCCGCCACCCCCAGUUUACAAAUACAAGUCGCCCCCUCCACCUUAUUACUACAAGUCUCCGCCACCCCCGCCAUACAAAUAUGAAUCCCCACCUCCACCUCCCUACAAGUAUGAAUCGCCUCCUCCUCCACCUUACUACUACAAGUCCCCUCCACCACCUCCCUACAAAUAUGAAUCCCCGCCACCACCUCCCUAUAAAUACGAGUCACCACCACCACCACCUUACUAUUACAAAUCUCCUCCACCGCCUCCAUACAAGUAUGAGUCGCCACCACCACCUCCCUACAAAUACGAGUCACCACCACCACCACCUUACAAGUAUGAAUCCCCACCUCCACCUCCGUACAAGUAUGAAUCACCUCCACCGCCUCCAUACAAGUAUGAAUCCCCUCCUCCACCUCCCUACAAAUACGAGUCACCACCCCCACCACCUUAUUACUACAAAUCGCCUCCGCCACCGGAGUAUCAAUCACCUCCUUACGUGUAUAAAUCUCCAC
rnacentral:lncRNA from 1 species